UUUUAUUUAUCUUAAUGUAGUAACCUUGGGCGAAGUAACGAUAAUAUUUUUAAAAACGUCUACCGUAAAAAUAGUAAAAUUAAUGAAAAGUUUGAGUCUAAAAGCAAUUAAGUUGAAAGUUAUAAAUUUGUUCAGGAAAUCUUCUUCAAACUAGUGUUAUUUACUUCCGUGCAGAUCCAAGUUAGCUAAGAUUAGAAAUGGCUAUAUUCUUUCUUAUAUCGUCUGGCUUCUGUCAUUUGUGGGGGUUUUUCGAAGUGAACAGAGUAGUAGUAGGAUGCUGGAACAGCUUGUCUGCACUUUAACAUGCUGCACGCCAGGCAAUUUAAGAUUGCAGUUGCUAGUUUUAUUUGUAGCGUAGAUUUUGAGAAAUUUAGAAAUCUCGAAAUUGAAUCUUUUUGUUUUUUUUCCCCCUUUUGUUUUUUAGAUUUUUCUCUUUUAUUUAAUUUAUUUAACCGUCCAUUUUUCUAUAGAAUUUUUAACAUUUCUGAUAUCUUGUUUCUGAUUUAAUUUUUUUAAGUUAUGACUACGAAAUAAUGAAAAAAAAAAUAA
rnacentral:lncRNA from 1 species